UAUUAAGCCAGCCGCCGCGGUAAUACGUAGGGGGCAAGCGUUAUCCGGAUUUACUGGGUGUAAAGGGAGCGUAGACGGCAAGGCAAGUCUGAUGUGAACACCCAGGGCUUAACCCUGGGACUGCAUUGGAAACUGUCUGGCUCGAGUGCCGGAGAGGUAAGCGGAAUUCCUAGUGUAGCGGUGAAAUGCGUAGAUAUUAGGAAGAACACCAGUGGCGAAGGCGGCUUACUGGACGGUAACUGACGUUGAGGCUCGAAAGCGUGGGGAGCAAACAGG
rnacentral:rRNA from 1 species